UAGCGAAGCUCUUGAUCGAAGCCCGAGUAAACGGCGGCCGUAACUAUAACGGUCCUAAGGUAGCGAAAUUCCUUGUCGGUUAAAUACCGACCUGCAUGAAUGGCGUAACGAGAUGGGAGCUGUCUCAAAGAGGGAUCCAGUGAAAUUGUAGUGGAGGUGAAAAUUCCUCCUACCCGCGGCAAGACGGAAAGACCCCGUGGACCUUUACUACAGCUUGACACUGCUACUUGGAUAAGAAUGUGCAGGAUAGGUGGGAGGCUUUGAGUAUAUGACGCCAGUUGUAUAUGAGCCAUUGUUGAGAUACCACUCUUUCUUAUUUGGGUAGCUAACCGGCUUGAGUUAUCCUCAAGUGGGACAAUGUCUGGUGGGUAGUUUGACUGGGGCGGUCGCCUCCCAAAUAAUAACGGAGGCUUACAAAGGUUGGCUCAGAACGGUUGGAAAUCG
rnacentral:rRNA from 1 species